CAGCAGCCGCGGUAAAACGAAGGGGGCUAGCGUUGUUCGGAAUUACUGGGCGUAAAGCGCACGUAGGCGGACGAUUAAGUCAGGGGUGAAAUCCCGAGGCUCAACCUCGGCACUGCCUUUGAUACUGGUUGUCCUGAGUCCGGGAGAGGUGAGUGGAACUGCGAGUGUAGAGGUGAAAUUCGUAGAUAUUCGCAAGAACACCAGUGGCGAAGGUGGCUCACUGGCCCGGAACUGACGCUGAGGUGCGAAAGCGUGGGGAGCAAACAGGAUUAGAUACCCCGUAGUCCCUGUCUCUUAUACC
rnacentral:rRNA from 1 species